UUACAAUAAUGACACAAUGUGUCAACAUGAUAUCUCAAGGACACAUUUAGCAAAAAGACAUACCAUAAUGGGAUCCUGAGGUUUAUCAUGAGGUCAUAUAAAGGCCUGAUGACCUUCACGGCAUCUUUCACCUCAGUGAGCUCAAAAUAUCCCAGUUUUAACUGUAUAUCAGACAAAAUGCCAAGCUAUGGAAAAACUGAAGGACAACAUACUACAGGCUACAAUCAGCUCAAUGCAAACGACACGUGUUACAUCGCUACAGGGCAAUGAUAGUCAGACCAGAUACCGAUGUGGUAUCAAGCAGUUGGGUGGUGCGGUGGUACAACAGGAAGUGCUUUACAGCUCCAGACCCUGAGCAAAGUUUACUGUCUGUCUAAAGUUUGCAUGUGUUUUAUUGGGUUUCAUUCAGGUUUGUUGGUUUCCUACCAACCGUCAAAAAACCCACCAGAAUUUGUGGGUUUAUUUUACAUAACAUUGUAAUGCUUUUUAGUUCAUGGUCUUUACAUUUCAGUGUACAGUUUAAAUGCAUUACAUAAUCCUUUCAUUUCUUUGGAUUUCACCUAACCGUCAGACAUCAACCUCACUGCCAAUGCAAUCUUUGUGCAUGAAGCAAUUACAAGAUACACAAUCGACCCCAAUGUUACAACUAAACCCACUGUCUGCUCUUGAUUAUCAAUAUGCACUCUGGCUUCAACCCAUCAUCCAAUCAGCAGACAGGAUAAUCACAAUACUACAUUACUUGCCUCAAGACAAGAAAAAAAACAAUAUCAUACUUUUCAUAUGCAAAUUAUCCACUCGGCCUUAACCGCAUUAUAACAGUAUUGGAUAUUAUACUAUGUAGUGUACUACAAGUAUAAUAAAAAAAAUAUAUACGUUACACUUUAACGUAGUGCACUACAUCUUCAGUCAAGGACCAUUUAAAACUCAACCCAUUCUCUUGUCUAGCUGGGGUCAAGUAAUCUCAUGCGCUACAAAUCUCAUGUGCUACACAUUACAGUAUGUGCUUGUGUGUGUGUGUGUGUGUGUGUGUGUGUGUGUGUGUGUGUGUGUGUGUGUGCGCAUGUGGGUGUUACAUUUUUACUGGAAAAACUGCUUCUUACACCAUGUUUCCACCCACAAAAUUAGAUCCCCAAAAGGACUGCAGGCGUUUCAACAGAAAAGAAUCAACGUCUGUUCUAUAACCAAGAAAAUAUUGAAGGUUACAAAAUCUCCUUAGUAUUGAUUGAAUUUGUACCUAGAAAGCACACAUAUGUUGCUUUGAAAUGCAUUCUAGAAAAAUCUAAGAUAAGUAAAUAAUUUGCACUGGUUUCCCUACAUUCCCAACAAGUUGUAGGUUUAAAACCUACAACAAGUUGUAGGUUUAAAACCCCGGAUAAAAUAGCAAGACACAAAUGUACGUAAGAGGUCAGGUGUUUUUGUGUGUGAGAAGUGUUUCAUUUGUUUUAAUUUGUUGUUCUAGGUGAGGUGUGAACAGGAGGGAGGUGUGUGCAUGCAUGUGCAGACGUGAGUGAGGAGGGAGCAGGUGUCUUUAGCAGCCUGGUAAACACAGGAAGGAGCUGGGAGUCAAGAAACGCAGAAACAGAGACACAGCCCACUGCCUUUGGAUACUGCUGCCCCUAAAGGACAAAAGCACAUUUGUUAAGUCAUCUCUAAACAACACUGGGGGCGAAAA